UACGAAGGGGGCUAGCGUUGCUCGGAAUCACUGGGCGUAAAGGGCGCGUAGGCGGCCAUUCAAGUCGGAGGUGAAAGCCCAGGGCUCAACCCUGGAAUUGCCUUCGAUACUGUCUGGCUAGAGACCGGAAGAGGUAAGUGGAACUGCGAGUGUAGAGGUGAAAUUCGUAGAUAUUCGCAAGAACACCAGUGGCGAAGGCGGCUUACUGGUCCGGUUCUGACGCUGAGGCGCGAAAGCGUGGGGAGCAAACAGG
rnacentral:rRNA from 2 species